rnacentral:rRNA from 1 species
UACGUAGGGUGCGAGCGUUGUCCGGAAUUAUUGGGCGUAAAGGGUGCGUAGGCGGUUCGUUAAGUCUGUUGUGAAAUCCCCGGGCUCAACCUGGGAAUGGCAAUGGAUACUGGCGAGCUAGAGUGUGAUAGAGGAUGGUGGAAUUCCCGGUGUAGCGGUGAAAUGCGUAGAGAUCGGGAGGAACAUCAGUGGCGAAGGCGGCCAUCUGGAUCAACACUGACGCUGAAGCACGAAAGCGUGGGGAGCAAACAGG